rnacentral:rRNA from 1 species
UACGAAGGGGGCUAGCGUUGCUCGGAAUCAUUGGGCGUAAAGGGUGCGUAGGUGGCGCGGUAAGUCGGGUGUGAAAUUUCGGAGCUUAACUCCGAAACUGCAUUCGAUACUGCCGUGCUUGAGGACUGGAGAGGAGACUGGAAUUUACGGUGUAGCAGUGAAAUGCGUAGAGAUCGUAAGGAAGACCAGUGGCGAAGGCGGGUCUCUGGACAGUUCCUGACACUGAGGCACGAAGGCCAGGGGAGCAAACGGG